UCCUGCAUGUCUACCUUGCCGGUGCCAUUAUCGGCUCCGGGUAUGAUCCAGUUGAAUGCGUGCAACAAGCUUCCAACGGCCAGCAUGACAUUGGUAUGACCCAGCUGCAUCCCCGGGCACAUUCUGCGUCCUGCACCAAAUGGUAUCAGCUCAAAGUCCUGCCCUCGGGCAUCGAUGCCGACUUUCUCCUCCAGGAACCUCUCCGGCUUGAAUCGGUGCGCCUCCUUCCACAGCGUCUCAUCUCUUCCAAUUGCAUAUGCAUUUAUGAAGACUCGCGUUCUUGCAGGAACACCCCAUUUGGCGCUGAUCAUGCAGGCUUGGGCAGAGUUCUCGCGGGGAUAAAUUGGGACUGGCGGGUGUAGCCUAAGUGUUUCG
rnacentral:lncRNA from 1 species